UUCCGGUUGAUCCUGCCGGAGGUCACUGCUAUCGGGGUUCGAUUAAGCCAUGCGAGUUGAGAGGGUUUAGACCCUCAGCGGACUGCUCAGUAACACGUGGAUAACCUGCCCUAUGGUGGAGAAUAACCCCGGGAAACUGGGGAUAAUACUCCAUAGAUUAGAGAUACUGGAAUGUUCUUUAAUCGAAAGUUGAGGCGCCAUAGGAUGGAUCUGCGGUCGAUUAGGUUGUUGUUGGGGUAACGGCCCAACAAGCCUGUGAUCGAUACGGGUUGUGGGAGCAAGAGCCCGGAGAUGGAAUCUGAGACACGAUUCCAGGCCCUACGGGGCGCAGCAGGCGCGAAAACUUUACAAUGCAGGAAACUGUGAUAAGGGAACCCCGAGUGCCCGUAUACGCGGGCUGUCCAGGUGUCUAAAAAGCAUCUGAAGAAAGGGCCGGGCAGGACCGGUGCCAGCCGCCGCGGUAAUACCGGCGGCUCGAGUGGUGGCCACUAUUAUUGGGCUUAAAGCGUCCGUAGCUGGACUCUUAAGUCUCUUGGGAAAUCCGCCGGCUUAACCGACGGGCGUCUAAGAGAUACUGAGAGUCUAGGGACCGGGAGAGGUGAGAGGUACUCCAGGGGUAGGAGUGAAAUCCUGUAAUCCCCGGGGGACCACCGAUGGCGAAGGCAUCUCACCAGAACGGCUCCGACAGUGAGGGACGAAAGCUGGGGGAGCGAA
rnacentral:rRNA from 1 species